rnacentral:misc_RNA from 1 species
GAUGAAGAACGUAGCGAAAUGCGAUACCUGGUGUGAAUUGCAGAAUCCCGCGAACCAUCGAGUCUUUGAACGCAAGUUGCGCCCGAGGCCACUCGGCCGAGGGCACGCCUGCCUGGGCGUCACGCCAAAACACGCUCCCAACCCCCCCUCAUCGGGAAUAGGGAUGCGGCAUAUGGUCCCUCGUCUCGCAAGGGGCGGUGGGCCGAAGAUCGGGCUGCCGGCGGACCGCGCCGGACACAGCGCAUGGUGGGCGUCCUCGCUUUAUCAACGCAGUGCAUCCGACGCGUAGCCGGCGUGAUGGCCUCAAAACGACCCAGCAAACGAAGCGCACGUCGCUUCGACCGCGACCCCAGGUCAGGCGGGACUACCCGCUGAGUUUAAGCAUAUCAAUAAGCGGAGGA